AUCCCAGCCUUGCACCAAGACGGGACCUGGGUCUCUUGAGGCUUUUGAGUCUUCCCCAUCAGCAUUUCUUUCAUUCAAAAUAAAGUUAAAAGAACCCCCCAGGACACGAGGGACUCCAGGCACCCCAAGCUCAGAGGCACAGUUUUGAGGGGAGCUCUCUCCUCACAUGAAGUGUGGCCUUGAGGCCACCCAUCACCCAUGCCAACAUCAGACUUCGACGGCGAGAGAGCAUUGACCUCCUUUCAGCAAAUGUCGAUGCCAGAAAAAGUGCUCUGCAAAUUCAACCGCUGCUGCUGCUCAAAUCUCCUAUGAAGCUGAGAAUUAGAGGAAGCUUCCAGAACCUGGCAGCCCCAGCAGCGUUCCCAAUGGCAGAGCCCAAGCCCUCGGCUCUCCUGCUCUUCCUCACCUUGCACAAGAUCUGCUCUCCAGAUGGGUCAUGAAAAGGCAUUGGGGACAAAAGAGAAAACCACUAGGGAAAGAGGGGAGCAUCCACAAACCCCCUUCUGUUCCUGAGGCGCCGAGUGGCUGAGUGGUGGCCGAGCAAACCCACCCAGUGGGGCUGCGGGCACCUGGCCUCAGGGCCCACUGAAACCACUUCUGGGCUGGCCUCCCUUGCUUCACCCAGCCCCAUGCCACCCUUCCCCGUGCAAACACUGCACCCCCAAAGCUCUGCCCACACUCAGGCCCAAAUCAACCUCUUACCAGCGCUGGGGCCUCCUGUCUACUUAUUUUUGGCAGCAUGUAACACACAAAAACAUCAAUGCACAACUCACUGAAUUCUCACAAGGCAUACACGUGUGCAAUGGCCACCCAGCAGUCCUUCUGCACCCCCAAACCUAU
rnacentral:lncRNA from 10 species